rnacentral:rRNA from 1 species
AUUGAACGCUGGCGGCAGGCCUAACACAUGCAAGUCGAGCGGAUGACGGGAGCUUGCUCCUUGAUUCAGCGGCGGACGGGUGAGUAAUGCUUAGGAAUCUGCCUAUUAGUGGGGGACAACAUUCCGAAAGGAAUGCUAAUGCCGCAUACGCCCUACGGGGGAAAGCAGGGGAUCUUCGGACCUUGCGCUAAUAGAUGAGCCUAAGUCGGAUUAGCUAGUUGGUGGGGUAAAGGCCUACCAAGGCGACGAUCUGUAGCGGGUCUGAGAGGAUGAUCCGCCACACUGGGACUGAGACACGGCCCAGACUCCUACGGGAGGCAGCAGUGGGGAAUAUUGGACAAUGGGCGGAAGCCUGAUCCAGCCAUGCCGCGUGUGUGAAGAAGGCCUUUUGGUUGUAAAGCACUUUAAGCGAGGAGGAGGCUACCUAGAUUAAUACUCUGGGAUAGUGGACGUUACUCGCAGAAUAAGCACCGGCUAACUCUGUGCCAGCAGCCGCCGCAGUAA